UCUUUAGUCCUCUACAAACUGGGUAUUAAAUAAAAUUGUAGGCUAAAAUAACGUCAAAGAAAGGAAUAAAUGAAAUCCUGCCUGCAAGGCAGUGCCUGACAGAUGACACAUACUCUGAUGUUCACUACGAUUAUCCCACGGAAUAAGGUAUAUGGCCUGUGUUUUUAAUUUUUUUAAAUAUUGUUUUUCCUUUCGGUUUAGCAAUCCCUGAGAUGGAGUACUCAUUCACCCCUGCCCUAAAUAAAAAUCACAAGCCGGGCAUCUCACAGCAAGUCACUACCUAACAGCAAAAGUGCUGUGGUGACACAGGUCUAUGGAUGACUAAACAGGGGAGGCUGCCUGGGUUGGUCCCAGUCUAAGUGACUCAAGGGAGACCUGAUUUGCAUUAAUAAUCUGAACAGUAAUGAAACAGUUAAGUGAAAAAAUGGACUGGAAAUGUUUUCGACUGCAUCAGAAACACUUGGAGAGAAUCUUAAGUCAGCCCUGUGUACAGAUGUGCUAUGAGGAAAGGCCUUGGAUUUUGCUCCCCGCCUGCCCAGGCCCUUCCUAGCUGCCCUGUGCCUAGUGCUGCCCCGGGGUGAGCCUGUAGAAGCCGUGUUCCUUGUGCAUGCGCCAGACUACAGGAAGGACACGGGCCAACUGGGACCCAGGUUCGUGCAGGAUGCAGAGAUGGGAGCUGGGCCUCAGAGAGCUGGUCGGCAGGCUGGCCAGCUCAGGUGCCACCACGGUAACUAUGGGAGGAACCCCCUGGGGCUGGUCGGAGAGGGCUCCUGUAGGACAGGUGGGGGAAGACCCAGCAUCACUAGAGACGCACACACCUCGGGAGACAACAACAAACCCUAUGACUCACAUCCGAAGCUUCCCCUCAGAAAACAUCAACAGGAGUCGUCACUGAUCCAAGGGAGGGACACACAGGCCCCUCCCCGGCAGCUCUCCAGGAAGCCCCAUUCACCACAAGCCCCACGCCCUGGGGAGCUCAUGCCCUGGGGAGCUCUGAGCCGCAGCCCAGGCCGUCCCGCCUCCCACGGGCCAGGGUGGACCCUGACUCUACCUACCUGGGCUUCACCUGACCCUUCCCUCAGGGACCUUCAGAGAGACACAGUGCACACCCACACGCAAGUGUGUACACACGUACACACACACACACACACACACACACACACACACACACACACAAACAUACAGACGCUUGUUCUAACUCCGCCCUCUCUAAUCCUUAAUCACCCCAGGGCUUGGUUUUCAAAUGGCAACUAGGCCAGUUAUCGGGUGGUUCAUUUAGGUCCAUUGUAAAGAAUUUCUUUUAAAACUAAAAUUCUGAGGUGCUCCUUUAAACAUCACUACUAAAUCUUAAAAUAAUUAUUGUGCUUAGACCUUAAUCCUGUUAAAACUAAAUGAUGUAGAGACUAAUACAAACAUUAUUUUCCUUACAGAUUUAAAACAAUCAGAAAUUGAGUUAGAAAUGAAUGCUGUCUGAAGACCAUGCUCAGUGUGAUCACGUCUACAACGUGACACACAGAAGCGGCACUGCGUCUCUAAUUCCAUUCUGAGGGAGCAAAACAAUGUUAGUUUAUGAAAAACUGAUGAUUUAUGAACUUAAAUACAGCAAAUCAGAAACAAAUGACUAUAACCUAAAAAUAUUUAAAAGGGCUUUACAGAAUGCUACUUUUUUAUAUAUAUACACAUACACAACCACAUGAAUAUGUUUUUAAAUUUGGUGGUAAAUUCUGGGGAAAGGGACUUCUACUUCUUAUUUAGCCCUUACUGCAUUGCUUGAAAAUUUUUUGAAAGAGUAGCUAUUGGUUUUCUAAUUUGAAAAAUUAACCCAAUAAAUAUUAUUUUCAAAAAGAAACAAAUUUCAUCUUCACUUGUGAGUAGUACAGGGCAGCCAGACCUCUUGGAUUCAAUUUAAGCUCUUCCACUAAGUUAAGUUAGCUGUGAGAACCUGGGGGCAGCAGGUGCUCCCCGACUGCAGAAAGGUAGUGGUGGCAGAGCCUCCACCUGCCUGCUGGGGGUCGAGUCAAGCAAUGCACCUGCACCAGGCCUGCUCAACGCUCCUCCUAGGGCAGGCUGUCAGGAGCAGGUCUGUACCGGAAGUUUCUAGCCAAGAUGCAAUCAAUGUUCCUUUAUUUUUUAUUUAUUUAUGACAAUCUGUGGGCUGCAUGUCAAAUCUUGUUAUGUGAAUAUAACAUGCAGCGAUCAACUUGGGGUAUUUAGGGUGUCCACCACCCACGUGCAAUACAUUUGUGUUAAGUGUCAUCACCCUACUCUGCUCUCCAACACUGACACCUACUUCUGUCUUGCUGUGUCUUUGGCCACUUCUCUCCAUCCUCCCCUUAUGCCCCGCUCAGCUGUCCCAGUUUCUUAUCUCUACUUUUUUUGGAAAUGAGAAACAGCAGGAAGAGGUACAGGCUGGAUGGGUUUGUUUACAUCAGGAAAACAGCUCUGCGUGCUAAGGAAGACCAUCCCCAUGAGAAGACUGAGUAUCUCAGGGAUAUCUCCUAAUGCUGGACCUUGGAACUCUGAGAGCAGCAACUGUGCCGUGGUCACCUGCAGACCUAACCCUCACUUCCAGAACAAACGGCUCUGCAUGUGCCUACACAGCAGGAGGGACACCGCCCUGCACCUUGCCUUAGCUGCCACUGAGCUGAACACUCCUGCACCCCCACCACUCUCUGCUCCCUGUCCAACUACACCCCAGAAAAUCAUGCCCAAAGUGCUACAAGAAUUUAUGAAAAGCCAUACGAGUCAUGUGUACUUGGGCUCUCUUUGUGCCUUCGCCUAGUAGAAUAAGCUUUCUUACAUUUCUUCAUCUAGUAGAACAGUCAUGUUGGCUGUCUCAUUCCCAGUUGUGACUGGUGCUGCAACAGACAUCCACGCCAUUCCCAAGUCACCCUUUAAUGCUCUGACAGACGUCCACACUGUUCCCAAGUCAGCCUUUAAGGGGCUCUGUCUUUCCCACAUGAAGUGUCAGGCUAAAGGUGAGCAUUUUCCAGUUUGGAAGAGGUUCAUAGCAUAAAAAUAGCAAGUAAGAAACACAUAACUUGAUCUGUUUUUCAUAUUCCAUUUAUAGCUUACAUCUUCCAAUAUUGUUAAUUUAAGAUCAAAAUAAAAUAAAUAGAAGGACUAAGAACAAGGCAACCAGAGAAAGGGCUGCUCUGUUUUCAAACUACACAUGCCCAGGGAGCCUCUCCCUCCCGCUGGGAACCAGCGAACCAAACAUCUGGAUGUGAUCACUUCCACCCUGCUUGUCUGUGACCGGCAGUUUAAUUCUGCACAAAUGUCAAAAAACGCCUGUCGCACAAACCUCACUGCCUGAACUAAAAUUUACAACCUACAGCCACUCACUUAUUCAACUAGAUGAAAACAAAAGCACCAACCUAACAAGUAUGCUUAAUUACAGAUACAAUUUAAACUGUAAGAACUGAAGAAUUAUACAAGUUGCUUAAUGGGGUAGAGUCAAUUGUAAUAUCUGAUUAUAAUAAAUAAUACAUAAUUAGCAGCAACAUCAUGUUCUCUGUUUUCCACCUGUCAUCUCCAAAUUUAUUUUGGCCCAGUGGAUGAAAACUGCUUCCAACACAGAUCCAGCAGGUCUAGUCUCCUCUAUCCAAAUACCAAGGGGGUAAGCAGUCCAAAAUAGCAAUUAGUUCCAAAUUUAGGAGCAAGAGGAAGAAGGAAACUAGAGCACAUUUUCAACCAGUAAGUGUUAAUGCAACGCUCCAGCAGGCAGCAACGGCACAACUACUCACUGAGCAAUCGCAGCUGCAAGUUGAGUACAGCGUCACAGUGCUCCACAGCCCAGACUGUCUUGUUUCCAGCCUGCCUUAUGAGCACAGAUGCGGGAACACCCUCUGAUUUGUUCAGGACCACGUGGGCUGAAUAACCAGGCGGCUUUAUAAGGCACACUACAAUUCCCUGGACUCUGGUUCACCCUGAAGCAUGAGCACACUGAAGGAUGUGGUGUCACCCUGUCACCACCUCUCCUAAAACAUUGCAUGGCAUUUACUAUUCAUUUAAAGCCCAUUUACAUUGGCUUUAUUUUCAGAAUCUGGAAACACUAUUAAGUGGACUGUUCAGGAGAUCAUUUGAUUAUCAUAAAUUCAGGAUCAGAAACAAUGGUUGUGACCUGACAACACACUCCAUAAAAUACCAGCAUUCUUUGGAAACAGGUCACCCAUGAAUUUCCAGUUAAAAAUGAUGUAUUGAACAUAGAUGUUAGCUUUCAGUCUCUUGCAGGCACCCCUUUGAAAAGGGGUUACUUUUUAAAGGCAUAUAUUAAUGAGAGCACAAAGGGAGAGAAUAGAAUAGCAAAAAACUUCUGGAAGCUAGACAGAAGAAUGAAAACUGACUCAGGCCAGAAAAAUGUGAAUUGUAAACCUGCAAUGGGACCGAUGAGACACAAUCUAAUUUUCAUCAUGGAACCCUCAAAAGGCUCAAGAAUUAGUGGCACCUGUGUACAUUUGGAAGUAAAAGUGUAAGAUAGAACCAAGAUACAGGAGGAAUUGAAUACUGAAAGUCUGUUUAAGCAGCAGUUAGGUAAUACCACAUGAUCAUCUCAAUUGGUGCAGAAAAAACACCUAGCAAACCCCAACACCUUUCAUGAUGAAAACACUCAACAAACUAGGAAAAGAAGGGAACUUCCUCCACACGAUAAAGAACAUCUAUGAAAAAAAUCUACAG